rnacentral:rRNA from 1 species
UACGGAGGGUGCGAGCGUUGUCCGGAAUCACUGGGCGUAAAGGGCGCGUAGGCGGCGCGGGAAGUCAUCGGUGAAAGUUCAGGGCUCAACUCUGAAUCGGCCGGUGAUACUCUCGUGCUUGAGCACUGUAGAGGCAGGUGGAAUUCCGGGUGUAGCGGUGGAAUGCGUAGAGAUCCGGAAGAACACCGGUGGCGAAGGCGCCUGCUGGGCAGUAGCUGACGCUGAUGCGCGACAGCGUGGGGAGCAACAGG